GAUGAACGCUGACAGAAUGCUUAACACAUGCAAGUCAUUGGCGAAGCUGCGCUUGCGCAGUCUAGCCAAGGCGGACGGGUGAGUAACGCGUAAGGAACUUGCCCUGCAGACAGGGAUAACAGACGGAAACGACUGAUAACACCUGGUAUUGUCAGGCUGGCGCAUGCCGGCCUGAUGAAAGGAGACGCUGCAGGAGAGCCUUGCGUCCUAUUUGCUAGUUGGUGGGGUAACGGCCCACCAAGGCGAUGAUAGGUAGCCGGCCUGAGAGGGUGAACGGCCACAAGGGGACUGAGAUACGGCCCUUACUCCUACGGGAGGCAGCAGUGGGGAAUAUUGGACAAUGGGGGCAACCCUGAUCCAGCAAUUCUGUGUGCACGAAGAAGGUUUUCGGAUUGUAAAGUGCUUUCAGCAGGGAAGAAGAAAGUGACGGUACCUGCAGAAGAAGCGACGGCUAAAUACGUG
rnacentral:rRNA from 1 species